UCCCGACAUUGCCGAUGCCGCUGUGAUUCCGUAUCCUGAUGAAGAAGCAGGGCAGAUUCCCAUGGCCUGUGUAGUUAGAAAGCCUGGAAGCAAUAUCAAUGAGGCUGCAAUUAUGGAUUUUGUUGCAAAACAAGUUGCACCCUACAAGAAGAUUCGACAUGUAUCGUUUAUCAACUCCAUUCCAAAAUCUCCAGCAGGAAAGAUCUUGAGGAGGGAGCUCGUUAGUCAUGCUCUAUCUAGCCGUUCAUCUAAAUUAUGAUUUACUUCUUUAAACAAAGGAAAGCUUGCUGAGCAUUGCAUUCCAAUUCAACACAUCAACUUGUUCAUGUUCUUUAGCAUGUAUAUAAAUGCAAUCGAUCUUGGAAGUCACAGUUGUUAUGUUUCUGAUCAGAAUUCGAUCGUGUAAAGCCUUUUGUAAGAUAAACCUAUGUUUGAGCCUAAUUGAAAUCUGGCCGGGUGAAGCACAACCUUUCCACACAUUAUUUGUUUUUGUUUUGUGUCCACAUUAUUUAUGUUUACUGUAUAUCUGUCUGUGAGAGAGUUUGAAAUUCAUCAUUCAAUCAAGAUCCUUGAUGCACU